rnacentral:lncRNA from 1 species
GAUCUCAAAUAAUUUAAUAAAUUUUUCUUAUAUACACUGCCAGAUAAACUUAAACAAAACAAAAAAAGUGAUGAAUUUGAAACACUGUAUUUAGACAUAGGAAUAAAGAUAAUUCAAGGUGAAUACGAUAUCAAUGUUUACAGAAAAAACUGCAUAUAAACAAUAUCACCCUCUGUUUUAGAAGAAAGAUAGAAAGAACUAUAGGAUCUAGGGUUACGUUUAGUAAAAUGAACACUCUCUUUAACAAAAUCUGCAAUGAUAAAGGUAAAUUGAAUCCUUGUUCUUUACUAGGAGUGUAUGAAAUUCCCUUUCAUGAUAAAGUUACAAAUGAGAAACACACAUAUAUAAGGUGCACAGUAAGAUCACUACAUAAGACAUUACCAGAGCACAAAUAUGAUAUUGAAACAGGAGUGAUGACAACAACUUUAGCACAGAAAGCACAAGUAAAUAGGCUGGAUAUACAUUGGAAUGAUGCUAAAUUAUUAAGGAUGGAAAUCAAUCCAAAAAGGGAUAGAGUGCAUAAGCUUUGACUAUUUAUGAGAAAAAGAGAAGUAACAUCAAACUAAUUAAUAGAGUUGACCCG